AUUGAACGCUGGCGGCAGGCCUAACACAUGCAAGUCGAGCGGAUGAGGGAAGCUUGCUUCCCGAUUUAGCGGCGGACGGGUGAGUAAUGCCUAGGAAUCUGCCUAUUAGUGGGGCAUAACGUUCCGUAAGGAACGCUAAUCCCGCAUACGUCCUACGGGAUGAAGUGGGGAUCUUCGGACUUCACGCUAAUAGAUGAGCCUCGGUCGGAUGAGCUAGUUGGUGAGGUAACGGCGCACCAAGGGGACGAUCCGUAGCUGGUCUGAGAGGAUGAACAGCCACAGAGGAACGGAGACACGGUCCAGACUCCUACGGGAGGCAGCAGUGGGGAAUAUUGGACAAUGGGCGAAAGCCUGAUCCAGCCAUGCGGCGUGUGUGAAGGAGGUCUUCGGAUUGAAAAGCACUGUAAGUUGGGAGGAAGGGCUGUAAGCUAAUAUCUUGCAGCUUUGACGUUACCAACAGAAUAGGCACCGGCUAACUAUGUGCCAGCCGCCGCGGUAACAC
rnacentral:rRNA from 1 species